rnacentral:lncRNA from 1 species
CUGUAAUCAUGGCGUCAACAGCUGUGCUCCUUUGCUUCCUUGUUCUACACUGUAUAACUGCUCUUGACGCACAGUGCAGCAAUAUAAACUAUACCACGAUCAGUGAUAUCCGACGCAGUACAACCUACAAUGCUACAUAUUAUUUGUGCGACACUUAUUUUAUCCAAAAUGGGUCAUGGUACAGGUUUAAAAGUGUGGCUGGCAAUAACAUACCCGAGUUUUACCCAGGAAUAAAUGUUUGUGGAACUCAUAUCCCGAUAUGGAUGAAUGGGACACAUCCAACUACAAUUGGCGUAGAGGUGGACAGGAUUGCGUGCGGGCCAGAUUGGUUUUGGUGGCAUUGGUAUGGUCAUGAAGGAAUUGAAUGCCACCUUCAAUAUAACAUCAAAGUGAUAAACUGUGGAAGUUUUUUUCUGUAUCAGUUAAAGCCACCU